AAUACCGCAUACGUCCUACGGGAGAAAGCAGGUGAUCUUCGGACCUUGCGCUAAUAGAUGA
rnacentral:rRNA from 1 species